GUGUUCUCUUCAGCAGCACAUAGACUAAAGUUGGAACGGUACAGAGAAGAUUAGCAUGGCCCCUGGGCAGGGACGGCAUGCACAUUCGUGAAGCCUUCCCUAUUUUA